AUUGAACGCUGGCGGCAUGCUUUACACAUGCAAGUCGAACGGCAGCGCGGGCUUCGGCCUGGCUGCGCGUGGCGCACGGGUGAGUAAUACAUCGGAACGUGCCCAGUAGUGGGGGAUAGCACGGCGAAAGCCGGAUUAAUACCGCAUACGACCUGCGGGUGAAAGCGGGGGACCGAAAGACCUCGCGCUCUUGGAGCGGCCGAUGUCGGAUUAGCUAGUUGGUGGGGUAAGGGCUUACCAAGGAGACGAUCCGUAGCUGGUCUGAGAGGACGACCAGCCACACUGGGACUGAGACACGGCCCAGACUCCUACGGGAGGCAGCAGUGGGGAAUGUUGGACAAUGGGGGCAACCCUGAUCCAGCCAUGCCGCGUGCGGGAAGAAGGCCUUCGGGUUGUAAACCGCUUUUGUUCGGGAAGAAAUCCUCUGGGCUAAUACCCCGGGGGGAUGACGGUACCGGAAGAAUAAGCACCGGCUAACUACGUG
rnacentral:rRNA from 1 species